rnacentral:rRNA from 1 species
UACGUAGGGUGCGAGCGUUGUCCGGAAUUACUGGGCGUAAAGAGUUCGUAGGCGGUUUGUCGCGUCGUUCGUGAAAACUUGGGGCUUAACUCCAAGCGUGCGGGCGAUACGGGCAGACUUGAGUACUACAGGGGAGACUGGAAUUCCUGGUGUAGCGGUGAAAUGCGCAGAUAUCAGGAGGAACACCGGUGGCGAAGGCGGGUCUCUGGGUAGUAACUGGACGCUGAGGAACGAAAGCGUGGGUAGCGAACAGG